AGCACUUGUGCUUGUGUCUUUGUUUAGUUUUGUAACAAGCCUUACAGACAGGUGCAAACAGUAAAUCCUUUUGCAAUCUGGAACUCAUUGUUGAAUAUGAGAUUUUGGUACACGGAAGAAGGAAUAUC